rnacentral:misc_RNA from 1 species
AGCUGACAUCUGGUUGCACAGAGUUCAUUGGAUCUGCUGAACAGAUUUUAGAGGAGAGGAAGAUGAACCAAAAAUUGCUAGCAAACCAUAGCACAUUGCUGGAUUUGCUUGAAAUUAACUUAUGGACACGUGUGUAAGGAAUGGAAAUUAUGAUGAAGCUCUCGACUUGGAAGCAUUUGUUUGCAAACUCUCAACCAUGCACCCCAAUUUACCUGUCAUUCAGGCAUUAGC